GACGAACGCUGGCGGCGUGCCUAAUACAUGCAAGUCGAACGCAGUGGGGACGGGUGAGUAACACGUGGGUAACCUCCCAUCAGAGGGGAUAACACUUGGAAACAGGUGCUAAACCGAUACUGAUGGAUGAACCCGCGGUGCAUUAGCUAGUUGGUGAGGUAACGGCUCACCAAGGCCACGAUGCAUAGCCGACCUGAGAGGGUGAGCGGCCACACUGGGACUGAGACACGGCCCAGACUCCUACGGGAGGAAGCAGUAGGGAAUCUUCGGCAAUGGACGAAAGUCUGACCGAGCAACGCCGCGUGUAUGAAGAAGGUUUUCGGGUUGUAAAGCACUGUUAGUGGGGAGGCGUUAUCUGACGAAGAAGCAACGGCUAACUCCGUGCCAGCAGCCGCGGUAAUAC
rnacentral:rRNA from 1 species